rnacentral:pre_miRNA from 1 species
UAUCUACUCUCUCCGUUCGGAAUUAUUUGUCUUGAAAAUGGAUGUAUACGUCUAGAUAUAUUCAUUUCCGAGACAAGUAAUUCCGAACGAAGGGAGUACAAU